rnacentral:rRNA from 1 species
CUUGUUCUUUAAAUAGGGACUAGUAUCAACGGCAUCACGAGGGUCGCACUGUCUCCUCCCUCCAAUCAGUGAAACUGAUCUCCCCGUGAAAAAGCGGGGAUAAAGAUAUAAGACGAGAAGACCCCAUGGAGCUUUAAACCCAACAGCAACUCAGUAACAUAGUUCCUCAUAACCCACAGAGAAAUGCACAUCGGUUUUAGGUUGGGGUGACCGCGGAGUAAAAAUUAUCCUCCACGACGAAAAGAACUAAAUCUUUAUCUAAGAAUUACUAUUCUAAGAAUUAGUAUACUAACGAACAAUGACCCAAUAAUUGAUCAACGAAACAAGUUACCCUGGGGAUAACAGCGCAAUCUACUUCAAGAGCCCAUAUCGACAAGUAGGCUUACGACCUCGAUGUUGGAUCAGGGUAUCCCAGUGGUGCAGCCGCUACUGAAGGUUC